GACCCCGUGACAGGUGCGGCUAAGUGUCAGUACAAGCCCUACACCUCACAGCCAAUCCACAGUCUUCCCAUCCCUCCUUCUUGUGACGCCACGUGGAGGAGGAGCCUGCAGCCUGGGGAGAACGCGUCCUGUUACCAUGGUAAUUAGAGCUAGCCGUGCUCUGUUCAAAGCUUUGCAUCGUACAUACAAUCUCUUCCAUACAGCCUAUACAAGACUCCUGGACUUGCUCCAAUGUUCUCCAGAGCAGGGACUUGGAUUGCGGAAUGAUACGAACCUAGAAUAUAAAAUCAUGGCUUACUGUGAUACAGAGACACAACUAUGACUUGUUAAGAGCUAACUAUGCACCCUUCAUGGGAUUGCCACACUCACUCUAAAAUGAAGAAUUUGGAAAUACCGGUGAAUGAAGCUAUGGAGUAAAUAUCUAUGUCUAAAAGCACAACUGCACAAAAAUACUCAAAUUGACAAAGUACGCAUUAUUGCUAAACAGGAUAGAUAAAGGCUUAUUGACAAGAACAGGAAUAAGGAGGAUUAAGUGAAAAUCUUGAAUGUAUCACACCAAAAAAGAAGUUUUGACACUUUGUCUCAAGCAGAGAAUAUUGAUUAGUAGGAAUACAACAGAGAGGAGAAAAAAAUAUUUUUUCUACAGUGAGUCGCACACAAAGAAGCUCUUCUUUGAUCUGUUUGUGCAGUCAAUGGAACUCAGGUGGAAUGCACAGGAUCCCAGAAGUAAGUAGCUGUAUAUGGAGAAAAUGCAGCAGCCGGCACUCACACAAAUUCCAGCGUGCUCUGGUGCAAAGAACAAGUGUAUUAUUUCAUAUUCCAUAAUCGUCAACGUUUUGGAGCGCGUAGCCCCGUCAUCAGGACUUAGCAACAAACAGGUACAGGCAGAGAGACAGUACUUACCCACCUAAAUUCCCCCAAACAUUUAAGUCGCCAUUCUCCACUGCUCCUGCAGCGUUGUGCACUCCGGGCCAGCUUCCGUCCCCGAACUUCCGGUCCAAGAGCAGGCUGUUGUCAAGGGAACCGCUGGUUUGCAUUCCACUUGGCAGCGUCUUGCGUUCCAGGGUGGCUGGAAGACAGAGCAUCACCACAGAGGCAGAGAGGCUGCAGAGGAAGAGACAACAGCACAAAUACAUAAAAAAAAUAUAUACACAAAAAUGUACAUAAAUACACAACCACAAAUAUAAACACAGAUACAGCAUAUCAAAAAAUCAUCUCAGGGAAAAAUCUAUACAGGUCACUUAUAAAACGGUACACUGUGAAAACAAACCGUCAAAGACUAAUUAUCAAGGCAAAAAGAAAAGGAAAAAACAUAGUCCCGUAUUAACACCAGAUCUAAAAUAGAAGCAUUUGAGCAAGAUCACCUAAAAACGCUAUCUGAGGACCCUGCUGGUGAUUGGCGGCAAAAGCUGGAAACCCAAUGUUUACAAUGCAAGCGAGAUCUGCUGAAAUUUAAAAAGAGCAAAAAAUGCACCGUGGACACUGAUUACGAAGAUAACCAAGUGUACAGAUGGCUUUCGGGUGGAGAGUCUAACACCAGAAGGCAAUAUCAAUGUCCUAGGAGACCUUGGCAUAAGAAAUCUGCCACUUCUGCUCAAAAUGCUCAUAGAUCCAGCUCUGAUAGUGAAUUUGCAAUGUCUGAGAUAGACGAGGACACAAAUGGUCCAUCUGUCCCUUUAGAGGACACUUCUUAAGAGACCGCUAAUCUGGUAAAAUCUUUGCCACCCGUCGGGGUGGCUAGAACCAAAGGGGUAAGUGCUGUCACCCAGAAGAAAAAUCGUUGAUUUUCAAUCUUUCUCAACGUCAUCUAAAGGCAGAUGAAAUUGCAGUCCUCAAUAAAGGCCUCAGCUUCGUCCCUACUAACCUGCAUGACCAGUUUAUUUGGAUGAGAGAUCUACAUUUGUUCUCUAUGAAAUUACGCCUUAAGAAAAGUUUUCCAAAAUGUACCUACAAAUUUGGAGUCUUCAAUUUUUACCAACUUUCUCAAUAAAUCAUCGAAAUCUAUGUUUGACCAUAUCUCCUCCAGUGCAUCAUUAAAAUCUUUUCAUAGAUUGCUUGAUGACUCUGUCACUAAAUUUACAGCAGCUUCGUCAAAGGUUAAAUUUAAUCCAUCCAAAGAUGAAAUUCUCGCACUUAAAGCUAUGGAAUCAUAUGAUGAUAUUAUUAUCAGUCCCGCCGAUAAAGUCGGGGCCAUAGUGAUUUUGGAUCUUCAGUUUUAUAGAGAUUAAAUUUAUGACCAACUAUCUGAUAAGGAAGUUUAUGUGAAAUUACCUUCUGAUCCUACUACCUUAUUUCAAAAGGAACUUAAGGAAAUCCUGGAAUCUGCUAAAUUAUCAAACAAAUUACCUGAAAAAAAUCGUGAAAGCACUGUAUAUAAAGUAUCCUAAAGUACCGGUAUUAUACACACUCCACAAAUUGCAUAAGCAUCCUUCUUAUUGGCUGUCCAAUUAUUUCGGCUCCUGACUCCAUCUACAGACUGGUGGCUCAAUUGAUGUACUCAAUUCUCCAACCGCUCUUGCGGCAUCAAGAGACUUUUCUCAAGGAUACCACCACUUUCCUCCAGAGGAUUCAAGCUUUGACCGACCUGCCUUCUUGAACUCUGCUUUGCUGUCUUGACGUGUGUAGCCUCUACACAGUAAUUCCUCAUGAUGGGGGCAUGCAAGCUAUGAAAGGGUUUUUGGAAUCUGAACUUUCCUUUGAUAAGAAUGAAGAAAAUGAAAGUCCAGCCUCUGCUAUUCUGGAGGGGAUAAAUCUACAUCUAGCAGGAGCCACACUAACUUGCUUUUUAAUCUAUUCACCUAAAUAUUUAACAUCUUUAAAAACUGACACACACUAUUCAAUAAUAGUAAUCCGAAGAGGCUGGACUUUCCCUUUUCUUCAUUCUUAGCUAAUUUUUGAAAACCUCCUCAUCAUUAGAGGUCUUGCUGCACCACCAUGGCUUGGUGGCAUCCAAAAAUAACAUUCUCUUCAAACCAAUUUUACCCUGAUGAAGUCCUUUUAAGGACGAAAUGCAUUGGUUACAGAGUGUUUCUUCUUCACAAAAGAUGGCAAUCCUCCAAAUAUGAUAUAUCAUUUAUGGGUUUGAUUGCCUUAUAUUUUAUAUGAAGUUGUAUGUUUAAGUGUACAAUAAAAAAUCUCUUAUCCUUAA